rnacentral:rRNA from 1 species
AUUGAACGCUGGCGGCAUGCCUUACACAUGCAAGUCGAGCGGCAGCGCGGGGGCAACCCUGGCGGCGAGCGGCGAACGGGUGAGUAAUGCAUCGGAACGUGUCCUCUUGUGGGGGAUAACCAGUCGAAAGACUGGCUAAUACCGCAUGAGAUCGAGAGAUGAAAGCAGGGGACCGCAAGGCCUUGCGCGAGAGGAGCGGCCGAUGCCGGAUUAGCUAGUUGGCGGGGUAAUGGCCCACCAAGGCGACGAUCCGUAGCUGGUCUGAGAGGACGACCAGCCACACUGGGACUGAGACACGGCCCAGACUCCUACGGGAGGCAGCAGUGGGGAAUUUUGGACAAUGGGGGCAACCCUGAUCCAGCCAUGCCGCGUGUGUGAAGAAGGCCUUCGGGUUGUAAAGCACUUUCGGCCGGAACGAAAUCGCGCGGGUGAAUAUCCCGCGUGGAUGACGGUACCGGAAGAAGAAGCACCGGCUAACUACGUGCCAGCAGCCGCCGUAA